rnacentral:rRNA from 1 species
UACGUAGGAGGCAAGCGUUGUCCGGAAUUACUGGGCGUAAAGCGCGUGUAGGUGGUGGGACAAGUCUGCUGUGAAAGCGCCUGGCUUAACCGGGCGAGGUCGGCGGAAACUGUCGCACUCGAGGACGGUAGAGGGGGGUGGAAUUCCCGGUGUAGUGGUGAAAUGCGUAGAGAUCGGGAGGAACACCUGUCGGCGAAGGCGGCCCCCUGGGCCGGCCCUGACACUGAGACGCGAAGGCGUGGGGAGCGAACGGG